CAUAUCCACGAAUAUUUAUUGAGUGCCUAAAUGCAAGGUGGAGGAUGAUAUGGUCCCUGCUCUCACAGAGCUUACAACUUCAGUUUAUGAAAGACUGAAGAAGAAACAAAAACAAAAAAACGAAACCACGGCAAGCACUUCGUCUUUCCAUCAGCAGCACAAUAUGAAGCAAUGACUGUUUUUCACAUUAUGGGUCCCUGUUACAGUUCAAGUGUACAAUGUAAGUAAAACAAUUAUCUUUGAAAUCUGUAGUCAUAGUGAAGGCAUGGUAGGGAAUGAUCAGCAGACGCAAAGUUAUGGCUUGAUUCCUCAUGUGUCUGAGGUCUCAGGUGAAAUAAAGGGCAAGCCAGAUGGGGGGGAAAAGCUUUUAGUGAGGUCCUAAGAACACUGGACUAGUCUAACAAGGUAUCGAACUUCUCCAUGUUGCUCUUGGCAGGGCAGGAAAUAAUUUCUGGCAGGGAUUUAAUCAGAUUUGUAACAUACAAAAGUGUGCAUGAUCCACUGACGAAUGUGACUUCCAAAGGACCCUGUCUCUCACUCACUUUAAGGUUCGUAAAGACUUACAGCACAAAGUUGCACAUUUAAAAUGAGUGAAAACUGUUCUUGGGUCAUGUGACACUUAGGAUGAGGAUACCUGGUUUUACUACAUAUUUGAAUGCGGGGUUCAAAAGACAAGCAGCAUUUGGCAAAGCUUUCCUAGGUUAAAAGGGUGACACUAGUCAUGUCUGUAAAUCCAUAUUUAUGUCUGACACUCAGUGGCAGGCACCUCUUGCAGCUGGCCCAUGGCUUUUAGGGGUCUAAUCAUGGGACCUUUGAAAGAAAAGUUACUUUAGUUAAGCUAACAAUAAACGAUAAUGGAAAGAAGCCAAUAUUUAUACUCAAUAAAUCCCAUUCACCCAUUAAGAUUAAAAUUCUUUCUGAAUUUACAUUUGAUAGGUUAACUUUUUAUACUUUUCAGUCAUUCAAUAAAUAAAUAGCAUACCAUGGAUGCUCAUUUAAAAUCCAAGAAAACCCGUGAUUUUAGCAAAGAGCAAAGAUAACAUAGACCACCCAACACAAAUGACAGCCCAAUGUAGCGAUUGUAAGAAAUCAACAACUUUAAAAAGAAAUCACUGGGGGUUGGGGAUUUAGCUCAGUGGUAGAGGGCUUGCCUAGAAAGCACAAGGCCCUGGGUUCAGUCCUCAGCUCUGGAAAAAAGAAA
rnacentral:lncRNA from 1 species